ensembl:lncRNA
UUCCUUCUCCAGGGUGACGGUGGAUUUUGAGAUGAGAUCAACCUGGAUUAAGACUGUAGGUUCAGCCACCUCACUACGACUGACCCGAAUUUGUUCCUUUUCAUGGCUGUGAAACGCAAAAUUCUGGAGUCGUCCCUCCCUCAGUCUACAGAGACUCUGAGAGCAGGCCUGACAAUCUCCAGGUGAUCCUAAUGCAUGCCCAAGUUUGAGACCUACUGUCUAACAUAUUUAACUAUUCCCCUGUGGUUGGACACUCAAGGUUUUCCCGUUUCUUCUUAUUAAAGCUUGUG